UGCAGACGCAGAGCGUGUGCAGAUGGCGGAGGAGGCGAAGAAGGAGCAUAAGAAGAUGCUCGACAAGCUCUCCCACCAAGCGGACGAUAUGAAGGGAUCGUACAUGAAGUUAAUGACAGAGGUGCAUUCGUCUUCAUCUCAUGGUUACCAAAGUGUUGCAGUUCAUAGUAAAUGCAGUUCUAGUGGAAGUCAUAAUAUAUCAAGGACGGAUAAAAGAUCAUCUACUUUCAUAAGGUCCAUGAUCUAGCCGAACCACUAAUGGAUGUGGCGUCUACGAAGCACUACACCUAGCUUGCUUGCUGGCGCGCGCGUGCGUGCUUCGAUGCACAACGCUUCAUCGAGCUGGCUGGACCACGGCAAUCUCCAGAGCAGGAGCCGGAGGAGGCGACGAGAUGCUACUACUGCAGCUGCAUCCUCGGAGGCAGCAGCUGCCCCUCGCCGACCUCACCAACCUCCGGCGUCCGCCAUGAGCUCAGCGCAGGACCCCUUCUACAUCGUCCAGGAGGAGAUCCAGGGAUGGAUCGGUAAGCUGCAGACUACGUUCCAUCGUUGGGAGCAAGUUUCUUCAAACAACGGAGAAUAUGUCCAUCUGACAAUAUCAUCGCUGGCAGCAAGUUUCUUCAAACCUGAUUACUUUGUCAUCAGGUAGGCUGAUUGCAUCCAACUCAAAGAGUUCCACAUUUCUAACUUGAGGGUUCCACUUGCACAUGAUGGCCCCACAACUCCUUAUGGAAAGAAGCUUCCUGCAGCUGACAACAAGAUGCUGGCCUUCAUUCUUCAAUAGUUGGGUGCAUAGGAGCUUUAUGAAGAAGAAUCCCGAAGGAAAACCACACCCAACAAUGCGUUUUAGCUCACUGCAGCUAGUUAUGUGUUGUAUAUUUAGUUGUAUUCUAUAGCUGAAUACCAGAUCUGUACUAUGUAUCAUUGUAAUGUACUUUGCUUAGCUGUUGUAUGAAAUAUCAUGCCUUAUUG